rnacentral:rRNA from 1 species
AACGAACGCUGGCGGCAGGCCUAACACAUGCAAGUCGAGCGCGCCCUUCGGGGUGAGCGGCGGACGGGUGAGUAACGCGUGGGAACGUACCCUUUGCUACAGAAUAGCCUCGGGAAACUGGGAGUAAUACCGUAUGUGCCCUUCGGGGGAAAGAUUUAUCGGCAAAGGAUCGGCCCGCGUUGGGUUAGGUAGUUGGUGGGGUAAUGGCCUACCAAGCCGACGAUCCAUAGCUGGUUUGAGAGGAUGAUCAGCCACACUGGGACUGAGACACGGCCCAGACUCCUACGGGAGGCAGCAGUGGGGAAUCUUAGACAAUGGGCGCAAGCCUGAUCUAGCCAUGCCGCGUGAGCGAUGAAGGCCUUAGGGUUGUAAAGCUCUUUCAGUGGGGAAGAUAAUGACUGUACCCACAGAAGAAGCCCCGGCUAACUCCGUGCCAGCCGCCGCAGUAACAC